AUUGAACGCUGGCGGCAGGCCUAACACAUGCAAGUCGAACGAGUGGCGGACGGGUGCGUAAUGUCUGGGACACUGCCUGAUGGAGGGGGAUACCUACUGGAAACGGUAGCUAAUACCGCAUACCCUCAGAUGUGCCCAGAUGGGAUUAGCUAGUUGGUGGGGUCACGGCUCACCAGGGCGACGAGCCCUAGCUGGUCUGAGAGGAUGACCAGCCACACUGGAACGGAGACACGGUCCAGACUCCUACGGGAGGCAGCAGUGGGGAAUAUUGCACAAUGGGCGCAAGCCUGAUGCAGCCAUGCCGCGUGUAUGAAGAAGGCGUUCGGGUUGUAAAGUACUUUCAGCGGGGAGGCGUUACCCGCAGAAGAAGCACCGGCUAACUCCGUGCCAGCCGCCGCGGUAAUUC
rnacentral:rRNA from 1 species